rnacentral:rRNA from 1 species
GUGAACGCUGGCGGUAGGCCUCACACCUACAAGUCGAACGGCAGCACAGUAAGAGCUUGCUCUUACGGGUGGCGAGUGGCGGACGGGUGAGGAAUACAUCGGAAUCUACUUUUUCGUGGGGGAUAACGUAGGGAAACUUACGCUAAUACCGCAUACGACCUACGGGUGAAAGCAGGGGAUCUUCGGACCUUGCGCGAUUGAAUGAGCCGAUGUCGGAUUAGCUAGUUGGCGGGGUAAAGGCCCACCAAGGCGACGAUCCGUAGCUGGUCUGAGAGGAUGAUCAGCCACACUGGAACUGAGACACGGUCCAGACUCCUACGGGAGGCAGCAGUGGGGAAUAUUGGACAAUGGGCGCAAGCCUGAUCCAGCCAUACCGCGUGGGUGAAGAAGGCCUUCGGGUUGUAAAGCCCUUUUGUUGGGAAAGAAAAGCAGCAGGUUAAUACCCCGCUGUUCUGACGGUACCCAAAGAAUAAGCACCGGCUAACUUCGUG